CCCACCCGAUCCACUCCCACCGCACCAAACUCUCUCUCUCAAAGAAAAAAACCUCUCUCUCGUGAAACUCACCCCCACCCUCGGUCCAGCUCCUCUCCCCCACUAUCUCCUCGCCGCCGCCGCCGCCCAUGUCGGCCGGUUCCGGCGAGCUCCGGCCGCGCGCAACACGCCCCCAAGCUCUGCCCCUCUCCCCCCUUCCAGAUCCGCGCCUCAAGGGUUGCGCCCUCGCCCGCCGCUAGGGUUUCGGGCGCCUCCCGUCUUCUUGCCGGAAUCCACCACAAUCGGCGAUGGCGAGGCCGGAGCUUGCGAGAUCCGUCUCCGGCGUUGCCCAGGUCACCAUGGUGCAGAGACGACAAUGAUGGCAAGAGGGCACAAACCUUGCCCUGAUCGAGGAGGAGAAGGAGGGGCGCACCUAGCCGCCAGCCCUGCUCUGCUCGAGGAGGAGGGGCGGGAGGGGUCUGCUCCUAGGGCGACCAAGAGGUCCUGCCCGAGCUCAAGCAUGGCCAUGAUGACCCACCACGGCAGGUCUGAUAUCCUUGUGAUCUACUCCAGCAACUGUGUUGUUGGAGCACUGCCCUCAUGAUGGAAUGAUAUAGUGUUUUAUGUAGUUUUUGAUAUCUUAGCUCUGACGGUAACAUCAUAUCAGUUAGGAGUAGUGUUUAGGAACAAUUAGAAUAUGUUAUGGUCGUCUAAUAGAGAGAGAUUCAAGGGCCUUCCCAGUUUGGACAAUCAAAUGUGUUCACAAAUGACAUCCACGUUGGUUAUACUAGGUCCUAAUGGUGAUGCUACGGAUUUUAGUACAUUGGUUGAGACCCAAGUUGAUCUGUGCUAGUUCUAGGUUGUUUAUUUAUGAAAAAGUAUAUGUCUGAUAGACGUGAUUAAUUACUGUGUAGAAAAGUACCAAUGUUUCUUGUUCAGCGCACUGUUUCUCUGCUUCCCUACUGUCAAUGCCGAGCAACAGCUUCAUCUUUAUUUUCAUUCAUACUCGUGCGUGUUCUGUCAUGUGCAUAUGCUUACUUUGUGGUUACUGACAGGGAGUACACCUUUGGUUACCAAUCACUGCACAAUCGUCCCACAAUUUUUUUGCUUAAUGUUCAUUGCCCAACAGGCUACAACGCCCACACGCUGAGCCUUGUUUUGCCUACAACUUACUGCUGCGGUGCUGCAGGAACCAAGCUAAGCUCCAGCAGAACCUCAUGUACCUGUACAUGUAGUUCAAAAGAACUCUGAAAGAAGGUCUUGGGGUUUCGUUACCAUUUAUUUGGUGUGUGCCGUUUGGGUUUGUAUCUUGGGUCUUGGUUUUGUAGACCGUGCGUGCUUGUGUGUGUUUGUGUGUUUGUAUUUUUGGGUUUUAGUUUUUGGUUUUGGGAAGUUCGAUGUAUACACUGCUAGCUGCCCGUGGAGAUCAGCACUAAUGUUUAAAGGGAGUACAUUGUGCUACACAUUGCUGAUUUUGAAUGAUUGAUUUUUUCUGUGUUCCAUUCAUGUGCUUUCCUUUCGAACAUCCGAAUCCUGAUUUCUUCAAAUUUUGCCAAAUCUGAAUGUCUUAUCUCCAAAGAGACCGUCUGUUAAUGAAUUGUUUCUUAUUGUAGGCCCUAGGCAUUACAGAUAUGCAUAUAGAGAAUGUCAUUUUAGAUGUGCUCUGAGCAUUACACAGUUGCAUAGAAUCUUUUGUUUUAUUUCUUGUAUUUCCAUUUUUAUAUGCUGUACAGACAAAAGAUAGCAUAUGUUCCCUGAAAGUGAGUAAAUACGUACUGAUUAUUAGUGAAGUUAACCGAGAGCCUAUGACAUACAGAAAACAUGCAUGGGUUGAUUGGUUGAUGCGCCAUGGCCGUGGGUUGUCCUGGUGCAUGUGUUUGCUUAAGGUGGUGAUGCAUAUGCCUCAAGGUGGUGAGCAGAGCAACUUCUGCUGUAAGAAUUUUCUGAGGAUGCUUUUGAGUGUAGAAUAACAAAAAUUAUGUACGGAGUAAUUAUUUUAGCAUUACUAGAACUGUUAAUUCAUACUCCCUCUGUAGGGAGUAUUAUUUAUUUCUUUUGUAAGACGACCACUAGUUCUAAGUGAGCUAAUUUUUUUGAAUUUUUCGCCCAUUAUGAAGAUUGUGCACUAAUGAAUAAACAAUGUGCUCCCUUUAAACAUUGUAGAGUAAUUAAUAUGCAGCCAGAGUCAAGUAUGAUUUCACAAUCUUGAGUAAAGCAUUUGAAUUUAAGCGAGUAGAUAUUGAUCUUUGUGAUCGAAGUGUGUCCAUUUAAUACCUCUAAACUCAACUAUUUCAUUCAGAAUUAUGGUACUUAGUGUAGCAUUGUAGAUUUAUUUUUACACGAUCAGAUUACCUUUGGUAUAUGCAGCAUGCAGCCAAACUAUGCUAUAUAUCUACAGUAGUAAAUGUAUCAUCUUAAGAGUGUACUGAAGCUAUAUUAUUUCGUAGCUUGAAUUUAGGCUUUCUCCAUGGUUAAUAUAAGUUAUGUAAAGCAAUGUUUGCCUGGAAGUGUAACUGUAAUGCCAUUCUUAUUAUUCAAUGUACAGCGACGGUGCUGCUGCACUUGUGCUAGUCAGUGGGGAGUAAGCUAAGAACCUUGGCAUUCAAGUUCUUGCAAGGACCAGAGGGUAUGCUGACGCUGCUCAGGGGUGAUCGACAUGGACUACUGUGGCUUGGUGGGCGUGGUGCUCUUCAACCACUCGGAGGUGGACUUCAUCAUGAAGCCCGGCGACCGCGCUGCAUAGAUGAUCGUCCAGGUCAUUGCGACGCCGGAGGUCGCCGAGGUGGAGGACCUCGACGCCACCGUCCGGCGGGAGGGAGUGCUCGGAUCCACCGACGUUUGAACUCCAAGCCUUGGUAGAUACAUCUAGAGAAGUGGUCUAGUUGUUUGCAUCUGAUGUUAAAUUUGAUCUUGAGAUCUCGAGUUGAGAUGUUCAAUGCUGUAUCCAUGAAUGCUGCAAGUGCUAAGAUGGUUUUGGAACUUAGUUUAUUUGCACUGGA